CCCUUAGAUGUUCUGGGCUGCACGCGCGCUACACUGAUGCGCUCAACGAGUUUAUAACCUUGUCCGGCAGGAUUGGGUAAUCUUCUUAAAACGCAUCGUGAUGGGGAUAGAUUAUUGCAAUUAUUAAUCUUCAACGAGGAAUGCCUAGUAAGCGCAAGUCAUCAGCUUGCGUUGAUUACGUCCCUGCCCUUUGUACACACCGCCCGUCGCUCCUACCGAUUGAAUGGUCCGGUGAAGCGUUCGGACCGUGGCCUUUGGACGGUUCGCCGUCUGUUGGCUGCGGGAAGUUCGUUAAACCUUAUCAUUUAGAGGAAGGAGAAGUCGUAACA
rnacentral:rRNA from 1 species